rnacentral:rRNA from 1 species
AGAGUUUGAUCCUGGCUCAGAACGAACGCUGGCGGCAGGCUUAACACAUGCAAGUCGAGCGCCCCGCAAGGGGAGCGGCAGACGGGUGAGUAACGCGUGGGAACCUACCCUUUUUUACGGAAUAACGCAUGGAAACGUGUGCUAAUACCGUAUACGCCCUGAGGGGGAAAGAUUUAUCGGAGAAGGAUGGGCCCGCGUUGGAUUAGCUAGUUGGUGGGGUAAAGGCCUACCAAGGCGACGAUCCAUAGCUGGUCUGAGAGGAUGAUCAGCCACAUUGGGACUGAGACACGGCCCAAACUCCUACGGGAGGCAGCAGCGGGGAAUAUUGGACAAUGGGCGCAAGCCUGAUCCAGCCAUGCCGCGUGAGUGAUGAAGGCCCUAGGGUUGUAAAGCUCUUUCACCGGUGAAGAUAAUGACGGUAACCGGAGAAGAAGCCCCGGCUAACUUCGUGCCAGCAGCCGCGGUAA